UAAGUACUUACUUCCCUAUAUUAAGGGACAUCAGAUUCUAAUUGCCCACUAUAACUAACCUCUUCCCAGGUUCUCAAUAAUACCCAUGAAGAUAGAGCCAAAAGAGAAAAAAAGUCAGAACUAGUAUUUUUUUUUAAAAAGGGCAAUAUAAUGCCUCAAAUCAAAAUUCAGACAGUAUCUGUCUGCUAAGCUCAUCUAACUACAGAGAAUAUGCUCAUAACCGUUAAACAAGACUAACUUUUCACAGUAGAAAAAUCACAAACUAAAGGGCAAGUAAUAGGCUAUUUAAUAUAAGUUUUUUUUUUUUUUUUUUGCGGUACGCGGGCCUCUCACUGUUGUGGCCUCUCCCGUUGCGGAGCACAGGCUCCGGACACACAGGCUCAGCGGCCAUGGCUCACGGGCCCAGCCGCUCCGCAGCAUGUGGGAUCUUCCCGGACCAGGGCACGAACCCGUGUCCCCUGCAUCGGCAGGCGGACUCUCAACCACUGCGCCACCAGGGAAGCCCUACAUUCUUUUUAAUAUUCUUUUCCACUAUGGUUUAUCACAGGAUACGGAAUAUAGUUCCCUGUGCUAUGUAGGACCUUGUUGUUUAUCCAUUCUCUAUAUAAUAGUCUGCAUCUGCUGACCCUAAACUUCCAAUCCCUCCCUCCCCCAUGGCAACCACAAGUCUGUUCUCUAUUACAUGUAAUAUUAAUAUAGCAUGAUUUACCCAUCCCUCAAAUACUACAGCCAGUUUGAUUUUGGACCCCUCAGCCUGCAACGUAGUUUCAUGUGAUUUCACUGGUCAAUCUGAUGGGAUGACAUGCUCAAAACAUCUGAAUUUAAACCGACUUACACUGUGGUCAAGGCACGACCUUAAAACGGAAGUAAUUUUCAGCACUUCACCCCCUGAACUGCCUCUAUUUUUUGUACCUAAGGAUCAUAAAUAUCCUUUUUCUCUUAAAAAACAAAAAAACAAAGGCCAGAAUACUCUCUCUACAAAACAUAUACAAUUUCGGAGAAUGACAAGGCAGCAGCCUCCUACGCAGAUGAGGCUGACGGCUAGUCUGGCUAUGUAAGCCAGCAGCAUCCUGAUCUCUUCCUUGGGCUGAUGCUCCUCUCUCAUUCCUCCCGUUACUCAGUCAACCUCAAAUCUGAUUAGAAAAUCCACUUUUGUCUCACAUCCCCACUAGUGUUGACUGGCUGGAGCAAUGGUCAUGGCUCUGGAGAGAUGUGAGCUUCUUUUUUUUUUUUGUCUU